UACAGAGGGUGCGAGCGUUGUCCGGAAUCACUGGGCGUAAAGGGUGCGUAGGCGGGUCUUUAAGUCAGGGGUGAAAUCCUGGAGCUCAACUCCAGAACUGCCUUUGAUACUGAAGAUCUUGAGUUCGGGAGAGGUGAGUGGAACUGCGAGUGUAGAGGUGAAAUUCGUAGAUAUCGCAAGAACACCAGUGGCGAAGGCGGCUCACUGGCCCGAUACUGACGCUGAGGCACGAAAGCGUGGGGAGCAAACAGG
rnacentral:rRNA from 1 species